AUUUAGCAUCACUGUGUGCGGAUGACUUAUUCUUUUCCUAGUUUUAUAAAUCGAAACAUUGAAUUAUUUAGUAGAUACACGUUUAUUUGAUAGCUUUAUUUACUGAUCAAAUACAACUCUGAAAGUAUUAUUCAGAAUAAGAAGUGUUUGAAAUGACCGAAUCGCAAUGAAAUUUUACAGACAGCCACCCUUAAAUAGGCAACAACCAGUAUAGAGUAUGCCUGUAUGAUCCAGAAACUGCACAUAUCAGAGAAAUCAAUAUGUUAAUGACGGUGUUACAUAACAGUACAGUAGUGUAAAAAAAUAAAUUCACCAGGCAAGUGCCAGAUCAUCACUGCUGCCCCUGGUUGGGUAGGGAGACCGAGCAACCAGACUGGAUUUUGGACUGUUCCGUGAUCCGUGACUGGGGGUGCCUGCAAAGGAAUACGAAUCAAGCAGAGAGCUUUAAAAACACUUCCACUCUGGAGAGUGACAUGCUUUCAUUUUUGGAAAGCGGCAACCUUAUGGAAGUAUGGAACUGCAAAUAUAACGACGGGCAUUGUCUGCCUUUUACGUGUAUUGACUCGAGGACCUGCUGGCUGGACGGCGUGCCGGAUCGCGUUGGAGAUCCCCGCACAAAAACCUGCACACACACACCGGCCCUUUGUGGGUGAAGCAUCACUCAGAAGCAGUCCCUUGGCUGUCCUCUGAAAACGCUGGGGAGGGGGACGCAGCCGAUUGGAUGAGAUGGCCUUUACCUACUCGGUUCACGUAGAAGAAAAGUGAAACUCUGUGGUCUAUCAGGAGUGGAUGUCAUUGGUGGAGUAGAAACUCCCUCCGAACGCUGGUGGCGUCUGUGUAGGCAGCUGCACCUUGGGGCUGCUUUCCCGCCCAGUGAAGUUCCCCAAAUUUUCCCUUUGGCGCCCUUUUGUCAGCCUAGUUCCGCAUAUGGCGAAGAUGGAGCACGUCAAGGCUGUGUCCCGCUUUUCAGAAACACAGCCUGCUUCUUCAGACACCACCCAUUUCAUUGUGAAAGUGUGUCAGCCUGCUUGAAACUGUACUGCCCUCUCCUCCGUGAACAAUUCUGCGCUUUCAGUCUGAGUGUCACACCUUCUGUCGUAACUUUAAAGGUACACGGAUGGGGUGAAUUAAG